ACCAUUCGGUUGCCUGUGUGUGUGAGAGUGUGACUGAGACGGAACUUAGUUCCGAAGCGAGUGCGGAGGUCUUCUAACCGCGGCUCCAGUCUCCCGCGAGGGACUUGGCCGGUGAAGGACCGAAGCGAUUCCUAUAGCAUUCGUGGGUGGGUGAUAGGUCCUAAACCCCCUGCAAGACACUCUUACUAAGGUAACCAAGGGCUGUGGGAAUUGCCAUAGUAAAAUUCCUAGAUGGUUCAGACAGAAUUGAAGACCAAGGACCAGAAGAAAGGGAGCAAAUUACCAGACAUACCACCAGAAAGUCCAUUAAGGAAUAAUGAUUAGCGGACGCCCCUAGGUGCACCCUGAGUGUUUUGCUCGGAGGGGACUCCACUCUCGGCCGCUCACCGCAGGAGCAGACAAAGGCCUCCUGAAGCUGCGGACAAGCGGUAUGUUUUCAGCUGCUGGAGGGAUACUAACUGGAGUGUUAAUAAUUGUAUGUCUUAUUCUUAAACGUCCAGGUAUUUUGUGUUGAAAGCAUUUGUGUAAGUGUAAGGGUUUGAAACCAAGUGGAAUGAGUCACUCCACGAAGAACACGGUCAGAGACAAUACUCGUUUGGAGCUGGAUCACCCCGACAGGCUGAACUGAAUGGUAACACAAGCCCCAAUCGACCCUGAAAGCGGGCCCAACCCCUUGAUUGAAGGCGUCUUGCCUAUUAUGAUCUGUGAGGAAUGUUUUAACAAUUCGUGUCAAUGGAGAGCUUGAAGGAAAAUGUAU